GAUGAACGCUAGCGGCAGGCUUAACACAUGCAAGUCGAGGGGCAGCAUUGUGAGUAGCAAUACUUACAGAUGGCGACCGGCGCAAGGGUGCGUAACGCGUGAGCAACAUGCCCGUAACAGGGGGAUAAUCCAGGGAAACUUGGUCUAAUACCGCAUAAUAUCAAUUAGAGGCAUCUUUGAUUGAUUAAAAUUCGAUGGUUACGGAUUGGCUCGCGUGACAUUAGCUAGAUGGAGAGGUAACGGCUCACCAUGGCGACGAUGUCUAGGGAACUGAGAGGUUUAUCCCCANACUGGUACUGAGACACGGACCAGACUCC
rnacentral:rRNA from 1 species